rnacentral:lncRNA from 1 species
UAGACUCCUAUGCUUUCGAAAGUACGGAGGCCUCCGUGCUUGUAAAUUGUUUUCAAUAAUGGGACGUCCGAUUCGGCGAUCGGUUCCGUUAAACAUGAUCUACGCUAUUAGAACUAUCUAGAAACCAAAUUUCAUAAUUUUUUAACUUCGUUUGCCUAGUGAACGAGUAGCCUCAAAAUGAACGGCGGAAAAUAAAAAUCUCAUAAAAAACAGUGAUAAAUGACUGGAACCCCCUGCAGUGUACAAAAUAAAUUUUGUAAAAUCGGAAGUAUUGUUCUUGCUAUUGAUGUUAAGUAGAAUUUUCUAUUAAAGUUUAUGUAAUUUGAAUACUUCUACACCGUUGAACUUAAAAACGUGUCACAUCGGCCGUUAAAAUAGUCAUUUUUGAGCAUGUGAUCGCUUGAUAAAUGAUGUCGAAAAAUUAUAAAAUUUGGUUUCUUGAUAGUUUCAAU